rnacentral:rRNA from 1 species
GACGAACGCUGGCGGCGUGCUUAACACAUGCAAGUCGAACGGAAAGGCCCUGCUUUUGUGGGGUGCUCGAGUGGCGAACGGGUGAGUAACACGUGAGUAACCUGCCCUUGACUUUGGGAUAACUUCAGGAAACUUGGGCUAAUACCGGAUAGGAGCUCCUGCUGCAUGGUGGGGGUUGGAAAGUUUCGGCGGUUGGGGAUGGACUCGCGGCUUAUCAGCUUGUUGGUGGGGUAGUGGCUUACCAAGGCUUUGACGGGUAGCCGGCCUGAGAGGGUGACCGGCCACAUUGGGACUGAGAUACGGCCCAGACUCGUACGGGAGGCAACAGUGGGGAAUAUUGCACAGUGGGCGGAAGCCUGAUGCAGCAACGCCGCGUGCGGGAUGACGGCCUUCGGGUUGUAAACCGCUUUCGCCUGUGACGAAGCGUGAGUGACGGUAAUGGGUAAAGAAGCACCGGCUAACUACGUG